rnacentral:rRNA from 1 species
UGGGGAAUCUUGCACAAUGGGGGAAACCCUGAUGCAGCGACGCCGCGUGAGCGAUGAAGGCUUUCGAAUCGUAAAGCUCUGUCCUAUGGGAAGAUAAUGACGGUACCAUGGGAGGAAGCCCCGGCUAACUACGUGCCAGCAGCCGCGGUAAUACGUAGGGGGCGAGCGUUGUCCGGAAUUACUGGGCGUAAAGGGUUCGCAGGCGGCAUGGCAAGUCCGAUGUAAAAGGCGAAGGCUCAACCUUCGUAAGCAUCGGAAACUGUCAAGCUUGAGUGAAGGAGAGGCAGGUGGAAGUCCUAGUGGAGCGGUGGAAUGCGGAGAUAUUAGGGGGAAUACCGGUGGCGAAGGCGACUUGCUGGACUUCAAAUGACGCUGGGGAACGAAAGCGUGGGUAGCAAACAGG